CAUAAUGGAGGUUUUUUACU
rnacentral:miRNA from 1 species